rnacentral:misc_RNA from 1 species
UCUCCGUUGGUGAACCAGCGGAGGGAUCAUUACCGAGUUAUCCAACUCCCAACCCCUGUGAAUUAUACCUUUAAUUGUUGCUUCGGCGGGACUUCGCGCCCGCCGGGGACCCAAACCUUCUGAAUUUUUUAGGCAUCUCUGAGUAGCUUAUAAAUAAGUUAAAACUUUCAACAACGGAUCUCUUGGUUCUG